GUGAUAGGCCUGCUGGAGAAAUGGGAUAUGUAGCACCAGAGGCACUUGCCUGCAUGCGUAAGAAAGGCGAAUUUGACCAUAAGGCUGAUGUGUGGUCUUUGGGAAUAUCAGCCAUUCACAUGGCAGAAGGAUGUGUCCCAAACAACGAACUUCCUGACAAGGCUUUGAUCAAACAAAUUAUUUGUGGUGCCG